GUGUCAGCAGCCGCGGUAAUACGGGGGGAGCAAGCGUUGUCCGGAUUUAUUGGGCGUAAAGGGCGCGUAGGUGGGCCGGUAAGUGAAUGGUGAAAUCCCGAGGCUUAACUUCGGAAUGGCCUUUCAGACUGCCGGUCUCGAGUGCGAGAGGGGAAGAUGGAAUUCCUGGUGUAGCGGUGGAAUGCGUAGAUAUCAGGAGGAACACCGGUGGCGAAGGCGAUCUUCUGGCUCGUAACUGACACUGAGGCGCGAAAGCGUGGGGAGCAAACAGGAUUAGAUACCCCCGUAGUCC
rnacentral:rRNA from 1 species